rnacentral:rRNA from 1 species
CCAAGGAGUCUAACAUGUAUGCAAGUCAUUGAGAAUGUUAAACUCAAAGGCGUAAUGAAAGUGAAGAUCCCAUUUUAGGGAUUUGAGGAGAGAUCAUGUCUUUUUGACUUUAUAUUCCGUAAGGUUUAUGGAACGAGGACUGCGCAUCUCCUGGACGUCUUAACCUCUGAAGGUGGGGCGUACCUAGAGCAUACACGUUGGGACCCGAAAGAUGGUGAACUAUGCCUGGUCAGAACGAAGUCAGGGGAAACCCUGAUGGAGGUUCGUAGCGAUUCUGACGUGCAAAUCGAUCGUCGGAACUGGGUAUAGGGGCGAAAGACUAAUCGAACCAUCUAGUAGCUGGUUCCCUCCGAAGUUUCCCUCAGGAUAGCUGGCGCUUAUACCAGUCUCAUCCGGUAAAGCGAAUGAUUAGAGGCCUUGGGGCCGAAACGACCUCAACCUAUUCUCAAACUUUAAAUGGGUGAGAAGUCAGGCUUGCUUGAUCGAAGCUCUGACAAUGGAUGGUGAGUGCCAAGUGGGCCACUCUUGGUAAGCAGGACUGGCGCUGUGGGAUGAACCAAACGUUGAGUUAAGGCGCCCGAAUCGACGCUCAUGAGAUCCCAUAAAAGGCGUUGGUUGCUUAAGACAGCAGGACGGUGGCCA